GGCAGAGGCCUCGAGCGUUAGGCGGAAUCACUGGGCUUAAAGCGUGUGUAGGCGGGCCCGUAAGUGUCUUGUGAAAUCCCACGGCUCAACCGUGGAACUGCUGGGCAUACUGCGGGUCUUGGGCCAACUAGGGGCAGCCGGAACAAGCGGUGGAGCGGUGAAAUGCGUAGAUAUCGCUUGGAACGCCGAAGGUGAAAACAGGCUGCUGGGGUUGCGCCGACGCUGAGACACGAAAGCCAGGGGAGCAAACGGG
rnacentral:rRNA from 1 species